rnacentral:misc_RNA from 1 species
UAAAUGUCACAAUGAGUACGGAUGCUGCUGCUGCGCCUGCAAAAUUUCCUGACCUUCCUCCAAGUUUGCGCAUUUGGUUCAAUGGACACAAGACUGUUUCUUCAUUCUCCAAACAGACACCAUAGCCAUAAACCAAACCCUUCAAGAUGGCCACCUUCUAAUCUCCAGGGAAAAGAAAUUUACAUUAGGAUUUUUUAGCCCCGGAAGUUUCAGGUAUAGAUAUCUUGGAAUCUG